CGCUCUCGCUGUUGGGAACUGUCAUUUGUCUGUCACCGAGGAAGUUAAUGGAUGUGUUUGUUUAGUUUGCUAGUGGGAACAUACAGGGCAGGGGCUGGAGGGAUUACAGGAGGGGAGAGGUAUUACUGAUCCACAGAGGAAUGCAGUUGCUUUUCUUUAAAAUUGUCUGUGUAUUUUUACACACGCAUGAGAAAAGCCCCUGGAAGUUCACCUGCGCCUAAGAGACCUCAGCAAACCUGGAGCGACCGCGCUCCAUCCAAACCAACGGCCCCGAAACACGCAGGACUCGACUGAUGCGCCCACUCUUACAGCAAAUUACCCUCCGCGCAGGAUCAAAACCAACCUGGCAGAAUUCACCAAACAGACUAAACAAAUGACAAUAUAAAAAAAGCUGCCUCAAUAGCUAUAGUUUUAUAUCUGGAGAGAAACAUUGUUUCUGUUGAUGCUACUGUUUAUUAGAUCUCUUAUUUGACAUGCUCCAGCAUGAAGGCCGCCUUGAAAAUGAAGCUGUCUCCAUACUAAUUCAAUGUGAUAGGCACCAGGAGAACCCCUAAAAUGAAGCCAAGUAGUUUGAACAUCCAUCUUAUCUAUUUUGUUAGGAUUAUGAAAUCCCAACCUCUAUUAUUAUUAUUACUACUACUAAAUAUUUUUGACUCAGUGGUUCCUGACAGCAUUAAAUCUUGAUACACAAAAUCAGUGCGAAAAACAUUCAAGACUAAACACACAAACCCCCUGAACCAGAAACAAAGCGGCUGACAAUACUGUUUUUAUAUUUUACAUAUUUAUAUCAUCAUUUUUAUUAUUAAAGUUCAUUCAGUUGAGAAAUCCCAGAUGGACUACUCCUCCUAUCAGGCAAUAACUUCAGCCUCAUUGACUUCAAAGACAGUGUUGACUGAGGCAAACCUUCAGGACUUGACCUACAUGGUCAUAUUCAUGCCAUGGAUUCUGAUAAAAUCCCUCCAACUUGCACUAGAAUGAGGGCUCAACCGCACGCUACCAUCUCGAGGGAGGUCUUGUAAAACACCUCUUUGUAACAUUUCCCAGCCAUUUCACCACAACGGAGUCAAGGUCUUUGUCCCAAGGACAUCACAAUCCACGUGAUCCAGCCCCAAAACUAUUUACACGACCUUCUGUUCCCGGGCAGACUGAAGUCCAAAGCAGCUUCAGUUCUGGCUCAGACAUGGGACACGUCUGGCUCGUCAUGGGCGGGUUUCCCACCAGGUUAGAGGGACCUGCUGAAGAACUUGUACUCCUCAUCUUGUUUUUCUGGGUCAUGCAUUGAGACCGAGGUUUAAUUCCCAGACACACCAUGGCUUUCUCAUCACAGACUGUGUAGAGACUCAGGCAAACUCUCUCUGGGCCUGAAUCAGCUCUGGUCUGGAAGAAGAGGCCUUCUUCCAAGCCAGGCUGUGCCCAAGCCCAGCACCAAGCAACCAGCUCAGGUUGAACAUAGAUAAGAAUCCUCUAAUGGAUCCACUCCUUCCAUCCUCACUUCCUUAUUGAAAAAUCCCACGUGUGCCUUUGCAGGCUCCAACAUCUCCCAGACUGCGGGCGUAUCUCCUCGCAAUGCACCUAUAAAGCAGCAAAAUCACCAGUGGGAAGUUCUGGGAGAUGCAGGAUUACAGAGGUGGCACACAAGAGUUUCAAAAGCAUCCUGGUGCCAAGAUCCCCCUUAAGCCUCUGUCUUUAGGCUUUUUAAGAAUCUGACUCCAAGUCAUGUUGCAAAAGGAUUACAUGGAGCAGGGAAUGGAGCCCACAGCUUCCAUACCGCAGGAUAAAAUAACCAGAAAACAACCCCUACCGACUCCAAAAUGUCAGCACAAUUAUUAUUUUUUUGCAGGGGCUUGGGAGGACAUGAAAUACAGUCUGAAACUGUACUGUAGACUUCAUCCAUCUCAUUCCCAAUAUCGCAGUGGAGGAAUAAAUGUAAAACAUUGAUACAACAAAAAUAAUUAA